rnacentral:rRNA from 1 species
CCGGUUAGCGCCNUGCGGAGGGACAUUA